CAGCCGGCGGCGCUGGGUGACGCCCGCGGGGAGGCCCGACUUCGACCACCUGCUGCGGACCUACGGAGACGUGGUUGUACCAGUUGCAAACUGUGGGGUCCAGGAAUACAACUCGAACCCCAAGGAGCACAUGCCUCUCAGAGACUACAUCACCUACUGGAAAGAGUACAUCCAGGCGGGCUACUCCUCUCCCAGGGGCUGUCUCUACCUCAAAGACUGGCACCUGUGCAGGGACUUCCCGAUGGAGGACGUUUUCACCCUGCCUGUGUACUUCUCCUCCGACUGGCUGAAUGAGUUCUGGGAUGCACUGGAUGUGGAUGACUACCGCUUUGUCUACGCGGGGCCUGCGGGCAGCUGGUCCCCGUUCCAUGCUGACAUCUUCCGCUCCUUCAGCUGGUCUGUCAAUGUCUGUGGGAGGAAGAAGUGGCUCCUCUUCCCCCCAGGGCAGGAAGAGGCCCUGCGGGACCGCCACGGCAACCUGCCCUACGACGUCACCUCCCCAGCACUCUGCGACACACACCUGCACCCGCAGAGCCAGCUUGCUGGCCCACCCUUGGAGAUCACGCAGGAGGCGGGCGAGAUGGUGUUUGUGCCCAGUGGCUGGCACCACCAGGUGCACAACCUGGUAAUGUGCUGCUCUCCUGCCCCCUAUCAGGGGCCUUCCUGCAGGAAGACGGCAGCACCACCUCCCCACUCUCCCAGCGAGAGCGGGGCUGGAAUGGGGUGGCUCAUGGGUGAGGCUGACCCCUUCACAAGGUGGUGUCGCUGAGGCCUAGCCUCUGUUUCACCCACUGCCGGUCCCUGGGUCUACUUGCUCUGGGUUCAUUGUGGCCUGAGGUGGUCCGAGCCCGCCACCCACUUCCCUGCUGAGCAAGCCCUGCUGGGAGACA
rnacentral:sRNA from 1 species